rnacentral:rRNA from 1 species
CCUACGGGAGGCAGCAGUGGGGAAUAUUGGACAAUGGACGAGAGUCUGAACCAGCCAAGCAGCGUGAAGGAUGACUGCCCUCUGGGUUGUAAACUUUUUUUAUAUGGGAAUAAAAUGUUCCACGUGUGGGAUUUUGUAUGUACCAUAUGAAUAAGGAUCGGCUAACUCCGUGCCAGCAGCCGCGGUAAUACGGAGGGUCCGAGCGUUAUCCGGAUUUAUUGGGUGUAAAGGGAGCGUAGGUGGAGUGUUAAGUCAGUUGUGAAAGUGUGCGGCUCAACCGUAAAAUUGCAGUUGAAACUGGCUGUCUUGAGUACAGUAGAGGUGGGCGGAAUUCGUGGUGUAGCGGUGAAAUGCGUAGAUAUCACGAGGAACUCCGAUUGCGAAGGCAGCUCCCUGGACUGCAACUGACGCUGAGGCUCGAAAGUGUGGGUAUCAAACAGGAUUAGAUACCCUAGUAGUC